rnacentral:sRNA from 1 species
AAUUUUUAUUAUUAUUUUUAAGUGCCAAAUUUUAAUUGGUUAAAAUAAACGAGACGAAUAUAAGGGUUCACCCCUACUACUUUUCAAAGAAUUUAGGUCAGCCGUCAUCAUGAAACGUCAGGAGAUAGAUCA